rnacentral:lncRNA from 1 species
GAUGAUGAGGCAGGAUGCUGUUGCUGUUUCUUCAACGUGCCUACUUUUCUUUUUGUGUUUUCUUUAGUCCUGAUCGAGUUCAUAAAACAGAUCACCCUUUCAUUGUUUCCAUAAAUUCCAAAAGAUGGAGAGUUUUAAAAGAGUUUAGGUUUAGGAUAAUCCCGAGUGGAGAAUGCCGAUUGUGAGAAUCGUAAUAUAAGAUCAUUGCUGUUAAGGAAGAAAAGAUAUCCAGGCUGAUGAAAAAUGUUCCUGAAUUUCAACUUUUGGGAACUAAAUAUCACAACACUACAUACGAAUUUCUUUGUCCUGGCUUAGCAUUGAGCAUAUAUAAGAAGAUCAUUCAAAUACCACAUUGAAUUUCUUUAAAUUAAACUUACUUGAUAAGUUCUCUGGAAGGAGAUGAAGCUACUUGUUUCUGCAAGGAUUUUGUCAAAUCAUUACAUCCGCACAGCAAGACAACAUAAAAAGAAAAAUAUAGAGCAUGAAAAAUAAUACUCCCUCCGUCCCAAUAGUAGUGUCCCAUAGCUUUUGGGCACGGAGAUUAAAAAAUGUGUAAAAAGUAGAAAAAGUGGGUUCGUGGAAAUUAUUUAAAUAUUAGGUAUAGAGAGAGAAUAUAUCUAUACCUAUUAUAAAAGAGCCUUGUUUUACAAAAUUUGAUUUGCCUAAUAUGUCCCUAUUUCUUAAUCUAUUUUAAGGAUAAUAGUGUAAUAUCAUAUUAUUAUUAUUCUAAUCUUUUUUUAUUUAGUUGAUUAUUGCCAUAAUAAUGAACAUAAAAGAAUUCAACUACAAUCACAAUUCUAAACAAGUUCGAUUUUAUCUAUAUUUAUCACAUAUAAAUCUAUUAUUUAAAUCCAAGACUUAUUAAUUUUUUUUAAACAAAUUUACUAUAUAAAAUUCAAUAAAUUUAUAAAGAAAAACUCAACGAAGAAUCUAAAUCUAUAUACACAAAAAGAUUCGAAAAAUGCAUAAACACAUUGAGGAAAUAUUUUUUAGUUAGAUAAAUAAUAUCAAAUAAUAGUAUUGUUAUCCUUCUACGAAAAUAAAAUUAGCAAAGUUAAAUUACAUAAAUAAUUUGAUUGGAUAAAAAGGCAAAAACAUAGGUGAGACUGAUCGAGUGUAUGGAUGAGAGGGUCAGGGAAGGGUUGGGGCGCAGGUCGCGAGUCUCAGGCCGGUUGAAAAUUACGGAUAAUUCAAAGUAAUUAUUGUUGUGAUGAAAAAAUAAUUUUUUUUCCGCGAUGAUUGUCAUUUUUACCCACGAGAACUUGUACUUUUCAUUUAUUUGGUCAAAUAAUUAUUAUUGUAAGAUAAGAUAACCACUGAUAUGAAGAAAUGUAAUGUUUCAAUAAAUAUCAUAAUAUAUAUAAAAAAGCAAAAAAAUAUUGUUGCAACUAAGAAUUGAACCAAUGAGAGAUGAUAGACGAAGGAGCGUACCACUAAGCUAACAAAUGUUAUUUGUAAAGUAGCAGAUACUUUUUAUUAUUCGCUCCUGGUGAAAACCUAGUUCUAUUUUAUCCUACAAAUAUUCAUUAUUAUUACUAUAGAUAUUAUUUUACUUUAAUACAUUAGUAUAUAUUAAAGUUUGAAUAUGAUUACAUUACUAUAUAUUAAAAGAAAAAUAAUUUAAACCCUCAAAAUAAAGAUUUAAAAAAUGUAAAUACUUAAGGAUAUGAUUAUUAAUAUAUAGGAUAACAAUGUGCACUUAAAAAAUUAUUAUGGAUAAAUAAUAUAACACACAACUUUAUGUGAUAUUUCUAUAAUUUUGACGUAGAUGCUAAUUAGUAAUUACCAUUGGAAGAAGAUAUGGAAAAUAAUGCAUUAGUUUGACAUAAAAUAAUGCACGACUAUUAUGAUAUAUUCAAAAAUUACUUUAAGCAACAUUUGUACAUUAAUUCAUCAAGUAAUCGUACUAAUUUUUUUGUUCAACUUUCAAUUUUCAAUUUUCAAAUUAAAUUAAUUCAUUAGUUUGACAAUCUUUUAUGUGGAGUUAUGUAUUCAUUUAUAGCCUACAUACCUAAUUCUUUCAAAAUAAUUAAAAGCUUCUAUAAAUAUUACUCUUAGGAGGCCCUUGCUACCUUAUAGAUCCAUCAAAUUAUAAAAAUAUGCAUGGCAUUAGUUAGGAAUGAGACUUUGGGAAGAAGACAUAAUUUUGAUAGUGUAAGGGGGCGUUUAGUAUUGAGGGUUAACUUAAUAGGGAAAGAUAGCAUAUACUCCCUCCGUCCCGGCCAAGACGAUACAUUUAUUUUUCGGCACGGAAUUUAAGGAGUUGCAUAUUAGUGUUUUAAGUGUGUAAUAAUAAAGUGAUAAAGUAGGAGAGAGAAUGUAAUAAAGUGAUAAAAUAAGAAAUAGAAUGUAAUAAAGUGAUAAAAUAAGAAAGAAAAUAUAAUAAAGUGAUAAAGUAGGAGAGAGAAGGUAAUAAGAGAAUACUUAAUUAGUGUUGAUUAAGUGUUUAAAAUUUCUUAUUAAUUUUUGUCCAAAUAUAGAAAUGUAUCAUCUUCGUUGGGAUNGAGAAAUGUCAGCUUUAAGGGAUUGCUUAUCUGACCUGAAAGUUUUUGAGCUUUGCAGAUGUAAAGAAAAACUAACCUUUUUAGAUGAUGAGGCAGGAUGCUGUUGCUGUUUCUUAACGUGCCUAUUUCUUUUUGUGUUUUCUUUAGUCCUGAUCGAGUUCAUAAACAGAUCACCCUUUCAUUGUUUCCAUAAAUUCCAAAAGAUGGAGAGUUUUAAAAGAGUUUAGGUUUAGGAUAAUCCCGAGUGGAGAAUGCCGAUUGUGAGAAUCGUAAUAUAAGAUCAUUGCUGUUAAGGAAGAAAAGAUAUCCAGGCUGAUGAAAAAUGUUCCUGAAUUUCAACUUUUGGGAACUAAAUAUCACAACACUACAUACGAA